ensembl:lncRNA PPP1R3B-DT PPP1R3B divergent transcript
ACACCAGGCACCCCAACAGCAUGUGCUGUAGCAAUUCCUUGGGAUCAAACGAGAGGGCUUUUGAGCUAGGCUGGUAGGGGAGAAACCCUGGACGAACAUGCAGGUGACCAGCAGGCAGAGUCUGUGUCGUGUGUCACCCACCUGAGAUAUCCACAAAUCAUGGAAGCAGUGGAUUUCAGUGACAAAUAUCAGCUUCUGGAAAAGGAAAAACAUGGCCAGCAAAGCAGGUGAGGCAAAGAUCAGGAAGGACAUUAAACGCCAAACUAAGGAGCGGAACUGAAUGAGCAGUGAAGGGGAACAAUGGCUUCAGCAGGUCCACUGGGCUCCUCUUUUCUGUCAGCCUCCCCCUACCCCUCACCUCUGUACUACUCAUGUUACUAUCUACGUCUCUUCACCAAUGUCAUUGUGGAAAUAAAAGCUUAUCU